UCGAGAAUCUUCCGCAAUGGACGAAAGUCUGACGGAGCGACGCCGCGUGAUUGAUGAAGUCCCUCUGGGACGUAAAGAUCUUUUAUCAGGGAGAAAGUUUAUUGAUAGUACCUGAUGAAUAAGGGGUUGCUAAACUCGUGCCAGCAGCAGCGGUAAUACGAGUGCCCCAAGCGUUAUCCGGAAUCACUGGGCGUAAAGGGUGUGUAGGUGGUCAUGUUAGUCUCUCGUUAAAUUCUUCGGCUCAACCGGGGACCUGCGGGAGAAACGGCACGACUAGAGGAUGUGAGGGGUGCAUGGAACUCAUGGAGUAGGGGUGAAAUCCGUUGAUAUCAUGGGGAACACCAAAAGCGAAGGCAGUGCACUGGCACAUUCCUGACACUGAAACACGAAAGCGUAGGUAGCGAAUGGGAUUAGAUACCCCUGUAGUCC
rnacentral:rRNA from 1 species